GAUGAAGAACGUAGCGAAAUGCGACAAGUAGUGUGAAUUGCAGAAUUCAGUGAAUCAUCGAAUCUUUGAACGCACAUUGCGCCCUUUGGUAUUCCUUAGGGCAUGCCUGUUCGAGCGUCAUUUAAACCUUCAAGCUCAGCUUGGUGUUGGGUGACUGUCCGCUUCACCGCGGACUCGCCUCAAAAUUAUUGGCGGCCGGUACAUUGGCUCUCGAGCGCAGCAGAAACGCGUAACUCGAGGUCCUCGUGCUGGCUCCCAGAAGCUAUCUUCACAAUUUUGACCUCGGAUCAGGUAGGGAUACCCGCUGAACUUAAGCAUAUCAAUAAGCGGAGGA
rnacentral:misc_RNA from 1 species